rnacentral:lncRNA from 1 species
CAAACCUGUACAGAUCGCCAUCAAUCAAUGUGUACUUGCUGGAAUUUUUCUUUACCUUCCUAGCUUCUGUCGGAUCCAGUGGGAGGAGGCCAUCUGCCAGGCACCGCUUGUACUGGGUUAUCCAGGUGUCUGGCUCAUGGAUGGCACAUACCUGCGCCAUAUUCACCUUCUCUCCUCGACAUGCUCUAAUUCUCGGCGAUCUCAGAGUUUCUUGCGUCAAGGACUUAUGGCCUCUCGCUGCUUUCUUCGUCGACUUGCUUAUCUGAAGGACCAGGUGAU